GAUUGUCUUGCAUGGAUACAUUUGAGCCUGCAUGUUGCGAUCUGUAUCCAAUGAUUGUAACUUCUGUAUUGUAUCCUUCAAUGAGAAAGGACAGCUCUGGUGUGAGGAGUCCCUCUCCCUUCUCCUAAACUCUUCUACAAAACAGGGGUUUCCAACUUCCGGGAUAAGGACCUGUACCAACUCAUGGCCUGUUAGGAAAUGGGCCACACAGCAGAAGCUCUCCAGGAACACAUCUUUGAAGACAAAAUGCCUCCAAGAUCCCCAGUACUGUAGCUCUUCUCCUGAAGGUAAGCACCUCUCCACUUUCUCCUGAAUCUUGAGAGCUUGCUUUGACCUAGGGUAUCUGUGGAAUGAAACAAUGACUGCUAAAGCUUUUACCUGUAGCUCAAGGCAGAGAGGCCUUAGACAAACCACUCAGUGGGAUCCAAGGCAUGAUGAUAGAAGAGGUGGCCAUAUUACCACCUGCCAGAAGCAAUCUGGGCCUUUUGGCUAAGAUAAAGUAUAGCAGCUUAGUGGCCUAGAAUCUCCCACUCCAUCCCAUGAGUUAUUCACCCAGGUAAGACAAUAAGGUUGACAGAAUCCUUAAGGUUCAUCCUUUUGGCCUCCUUUGUUUUGCAUUAUUUCAUUGGCCAAGCCCAUCACCUGGAGCUUUGUAGUGGCUCCACAGUUGUUUGUUUAAUGGAUACAUAAGUGCAUGAACAAGU
rnacentral:lncRNA from 10 species